rnacentral:ncRNA from 3 species
AUCGCUUCUCGGCCUUUUGGCUAAG